UGACCAUCUGAACCAUAGGGACUAUCUUCCUCUACAAAACCUGAGUGAUCAGUAAAGGUACUGUGCCACCAUGCCCCCUUCCAAUUAUUCUGUGCGCUAGAAUCAUUUCCUGAAGGACCAGUUCCAUCAAUAUAUCUACAAUGUGGAUUCCAUGCAUAUAGAUCGACCAAAUGGCCAAACCUGUCACCACCAUUUCCAUCACUGUUGUCUAUCAGAUUCCCACCAUAGAGCCGUCCAGGAAUAGCAUUUCCAAUUGAAAAGUGCAUAAUGUCAACUUCAUGGCCUUUGCAAGUUUUGUUGGUGCAAGCAUUAGUUCCUUCCUUACAGCCACCCAUAUUGUGCACCAAUUGGAAACAUGAGGGCCACAGAUGGGCAUUUAAUGUUGUUGCCUUUCGAGUAGGCAUAGUCCCCAUCGACUUGCAACAAGAAGAACACAUCUUUACCAUCGUGCAAGGCCUUAACGG
rnacentral:misc_RNA from 1 species